rfam:Triticum aestivum genome assembly, contig: Triticum_aestivum_CS42_TGACv1_scaffold_146217_2BS
AAAGUACUCCCUCCGUCCCAAAAUUCUUGUCUUAGAUUUGUCUAAAUACGAAUGUAUCAAAUCACGUUUUAGUAUUAGAUACACCCGUAUCUAUACAAGUCUAGGACGAGAAUUUUGGGACGGAGGGAGUACCUA